CUAUACAUGACUCUGUGCAUAUCAAUAAGCGGAGGAAAAGAAACUAACAAGGAUUCCCUUAGUAACGGCGAGUGAAGCGGGAAGAGCUCAAAUUUGAAAUCUUCAAGGUUCUACCUUGACGAAUUGUAGUUUAUAGAAGUGUUUUCUGUUAGUGGAGUGGCAAAAGUUCUUUGGAAUAGGACAUCAUAGAGGGUGAGAAUCCCGUAUUUGGUCAUUCCUCCUAGCGUUGUGAUACACUUUCAAAGAGUCGGAUUGUUUGGGAAUGCAGUCCAAAAUGGGUGGUAAAUUUCAUCUAAAGCUAAAUAUUGGCGAGAGACCGAUAGCGAACAAGUACCGUGAGGGAAAGAUGAAAAGAACUUUGAAAAGAGAGUUAAACAGUACGUGAAAUUGUCAAAAGGGAAGCGUUUGACACCAGUGUUGUUUUUCCGAAAAUCAAUUACGAAUGUUUUAGUUUUUAAGAAGUUAUGACUUCAUCGGCUUGCUUCUCUCUUUAUGAAAUUUCUUAAUGCACUUUUCGGUUAACAAGUCAACAUCAAUUUCUUUUGUUGUAAAAGGGUAUGAGGAAGGUGGCUUUCUUUUCGGAGAAAGUGUUUAUAGCCUUGUGACCUCUGCAAUCGGAGAGAUUGAGGUCUGCAGCGUAGAUCCUUCGGGGUUAGAUACAUUUGUGCUAAGUUAUAGCUUUUCAUAGACAACUUGUUGACUAUGUUUAGUCUUGUAGCUUACUCGCUUAUGCUAUUUUACCUACGCUUAGGAUGUUGAUAGUCACAGCGUGUAC
rnacentral:rRNA from 1 species